CGCAUCUGUGCAUGCAGCAUAUCAAUAAGCGGAGGAAAAGAAACUAACAAGGAUUCCCCUAGUAACGGCGAGUGAAGCGGGAAGAGCUCAAAUUUGAAAUCUUAAAGGGUUUCCCUUUACGAAUUGUAGUUUAAAGAAGUGUUUUCUGUUGAGGUUUUGGUAAAAGUUCUUUGGAAUAGGACAUCAUAGAGGGUGAGAAUCCCGUAUUUGACCUUUACUUUCAACUUUGUGAUACACUUUCAAAGAGUCGGAUUGUUUGGGAAUGCAGUCCAAAAUGGGUGGUAAAUUUCAUCUAAAGCUAAAUAUUGGCGAGAGACCGAUAGCGAACAAGUACCGUGAGGGAAAGAUGAAAAGAACUUUGAAAAGAGAGUUAAACAGUACGUGAAAUUGUCAAAAGGGAAGCGUUUGACACCAGUGUUGUUUUUUCCAAAAAUCAAUUACGAAUGGCUUGAUUUUGUGUUGUAUUGACCUUAUCAGCUUUCUGCGCUUUUUUCGAGUCUUUCUUAAUGCACUUUUCGGUUAACAAGUCAACAUCAAUUUCUUUUGUUGUAAAAGAGUAUUCGGAAGGUGGCUUUCUUUUCGGAGAAAGUGUUUAUAGCCCUAUACUUCUACAAUCGGAGAGAUUGAGGUCUGCAGCGUAGAUCCUUCGGGGUUAGAUACAUUUGUGCUAAGUUGUAGCUUUUCAUAGACAACUUGUUGACUAUGUUUAGUCAUGCGGCUUACUCGCUUGUGCUAUUUUACCUACGCUUAGGAUGUUGAGCGCAUGUCUCUCUCU
rnacentral:rRNA from 1 species